AGUGAGCGCUGGCGGUAGGCCUAACACAUGCAAGUCGAACGGCAGCACAGUAAGAGCUUGCUCUUACGGGUGGCGAGUGGCGGACGGGUGAGGAAUACAUCGGAAUCUACUUUUUCGUGGGGGAUAACGUAGGGAAACUUACGCUAAUACCGCAUACGACCUACGGGUGAAAGCAGGGGAUCUUCGGACCUUGCGCGAUUGAAUGAGCCGAUGUCGGAUUAGCUAGUUGGCGGGGUAAAGGCCCACCAAGGCGACGAUCCGUAGCUGGUCUGAGAGGAUGAUCAGCCACACUGGAACUGAGACACGGUCCAGACUCCUACGGGAGGCAGCAGUGGGGAAUAUUGGACAAUGGGCGCAAGCCUGAUCCAGCCAUACCGCGUGGGUGAAGAAGGCCUUCGGGUUGUAAAGCCCUUUUGUUGGGAAAGAAAAGCAGCAGGUUAAUACCCCGCUGUUCUGACGGUACCCGAAGAAUAAGCACCGGCUAACUUCGUG
rnacentral:rRNA from 1 species